AGAGAUUGAACUGAAGAGUUUGAUCCUGGCUCAGAUUGAACGCUGGCGGAAUGCUUUACACAUGCAAGUCGAACGGCAGCACGGGUGCUUGCACCUGGUGGCGAGUGGCGAACGGGUGAGUAAUGCGUCGGAACGUACCGAGUAAUGGGGGAUAACGCAGCGAAAGUUGUGCUAAUACCGCAUACGCCCUAUGGGGGAAAGCAGGGGAUCGCAAGACCUUGCGUUAUUCGAGCGGCCGACGUCUGAUUAGCUAGUUGGUGGGGUAAAGGCCUACCAAGGCGACGAUCAGUAGCGGGUCUGAGAGGAUGAUCCGCCACACUGGGACUGAGACACGGCCCAGACUCCUACGGGAGGCAGCAGUGGGGAAUUUUGGACAAUGGGGGCAACCCUGAUCCAGCCAUUCCGCGUGAG
rnacentral:rRNA from 1 species